GCACUAGUAGCUUAAGCCCAAAGCGCCGGUCUUGUAAGCCGGACAUCGGAGGUUAAAGUCCCCCCUACUGCU
rnacentral:tRNA from 1 species